rnacentral:siRNA from 1 species
AUUCAAGCAUUGUUUGUUCCGUAC